CUCCAGACUCCUACGGGAGGCAGCAGUGGGGAAUAUUGCACAAUGGGGGAAACCCUGAUGCAGCGACGCCGCGUGAGUGAAGAAGUAUUUCGGUAUGUAAAGCUCUAUCAGCAGGAACGAGACAAGACGGUACCUGACUAAGAAGCCCCGGCUAACUACGUGCCAGCAGCCGCGGUAAUACGUAGGGGGCAAGCGUUAUCCGGAAUCACUGGGUGUAAAGGGAGCGUAGACGGCUGUGCAAGCCUGAAGUGAAAGGCGGGGGCUUAACCCCGGAACUGCUUUGGAAACUGUGCAGCUAGAGUGCAGGAGAGGUAAGUGGAAUUCCUAGUGUAGCGGUGAAAUGCGUAGAUAUUAGGAGGAACACCAGUGGCGAAGGCGGCUUACUGGACUGUAACUGACGUUGAGGCUCGAAAGCGUGGGGAGCAAACAGGAUUAGAUACCCUAGUAGA
rnacentral:rRNA from 1 species